UUCCUCCCAACGUCUUUCUUCUCAUCUUUAACUUUCGUUCAACUCCCCUGUUCCAGCUUGCAGCCUUAUCCCACGAACAUGAAUUCAUCCCACAACCGCAUCAAAUCCCCUGCAUCUCGGAUUACAAGCUUAUCCCCUAUUCUCAGUUCAUUGCCAGCCGGAUCCAAGCUCUUCUACCGUAAUCCCUCUGUGAUUCAAACUUCCACGCGUAGAUCCCAGCAUUUUCGGAUCUCCUUCUCAGCCGAAUGCAGCUACCCCUUGCAGACUCAAAC
rnacentral:lncRNA from 1 species